AUCUCAGCAGUGGUGGUUCUCUCUUUCUGGCUAACCCUCCACCUUCUGCCAUGCCUUGCAACCAGGCUCUGACACAAUUCACAGCUCUUUGUUUGCUUUAACCAAAACCACCUGGAAGCAGUUUUACAUUUUUUUUACUCAGACUUUCCUUGAAUGAAAGCAAGGUGGCCAGUUGGAAAGUAGAAAAGGAAGCUCUCAGAAGAUUAAUUUUUUUAGCAAUGAAUGCAGGAAACUCUUCAUUGUUUUAAUUCAUUCUCCUGGUGUAAGAUUAAUUUUAGCUCUGAACACAACAACCUGUUAUGGAUUGAUCCUAGGGAAGUAUAUUGCUCUGAGGCUGGGAAAACAACAUGAGUAGCUUUUCCCUCCCUUUAUUUGGACAAGUUUAGCUAACUCAUGGCUGCCAUCCUAACUACAGUCUCUUCCCUGCGGAAAUGUGGAUUGUGCUCCUGCUGCAGCUUUCCCAAUCCAUCCUCUGUGUGACACCAUGAGGGAGCUGGCAAGAAUUAAAGAAUUAAAACCAGCCUAAGGCCACUGGUCCCCUGGCAGCAGAGUCCCACUGCUUCUCUCUUCAGGGAUGCUGUGGUUGGCAGCACCACGAUGGCAGCUUGGUUUGGAUCCCCUCUGUCCCUUCACAAGCUGUAGGUGCCUCUGGGGCUGCAAAGUCCUUUAAUGACUAAAUUGGAUUUAAGGGCGUUUUGGUGCAUUCCAAAACAAAUCAAAGUUUGUCUGUAAAACAGCCAGACUUGGCUCUGGGCAGAGAUGGAUGUGCUCAUCUCUCACACCCAGAGCUCUGCUUGCCUGGGAUCCCACCUUAUGCAUCAGGAAAAGUCAUUCAACACCUGAGUGGGCAGGGACUGAGACUCCUCCAGCCCCAGGAAUGAGAAAUGGCUCACUCCAUCCCUACCUGGCACUGGAGAGCACUGCUGGCUCUCCUCUGACACCUAAGACCUUCGUGGGCAUGACCUGGAGCUCCACUGUGGCUCAGAGCCACAGAGACCGUGGGAACGCUGGCUGGGUCUGGAGGAGAUAAAAGGUCCAGGUUUUGGAGGUCUCACUGUGCUGAAGAAGCUGCUAACAGGGUGUUUAUCCCAGGAGUGCAUCUUGGAGCAUCUCUGGCCAGUUCUGGGGAGGGGUAUGGGCUGCCACACUGUGGUUUGGAGUGUUGCCUGUGUUCAGGGCUGAAGCAGGGAAGCAGGAGUAGCUGUGAUGCCAUUGUGGGUGAGGGGGAUGCUGAGCUGCAAAUGGGGAAUGAAGCUCCAUCUGUUUCAUCCCAACAUCUCAUCCCAAGAGAUAUAAAGGAUGUACUGAAGUAGUUUGCUCUGGACCUCCCAGCACAGGCUGUGGCUGCCGGGUUGGCCCAAGAGGUUUGUGGCCUGUGCUGUGAACCUGCCUUCCCCACUGCUGUGUCUCUUGUGCCCUGGAAACACCUGCAGCCAGUGUCUCUUUACAAGGAUUUUGUCAUUAAAAAUCCAUGUGGUGAGGGAAGGGUGGGAAGAAGUGGGUUAAUAGGGCCCUCUCACAGAUGAGAGUACUCUCAAAAAACACGCAUUUGGCAUCAAUGAGAAAGUGGCAUCUUCUGGAGUAAAGAGUGGGAAUUCCUUCAGGCGGAUUUAGGACCUGCUGAACAUCACUGUGAAGUUCAAACCAUUUAGCUGGAAUGAGUUUGAAAACUUGUGCCAUGUGGGAGCCUAGAAGAUUAAUUCCUUACAGUUUUGAAAUCCAGACUACUGGAGCUAAGAAGUGUUAAAUAACUUGCCCAAGGCUGCCUUGAGAGGACAAGAGAGCCCAAACUCCAUUAAAAAUCCUCAAAUGCUCAGAGGGACGCACUACCUGGGCCACCUCAGGGAAUUUUGAGGCUGGCAGGAUAACUCACUGUGCUAAUACCAGAGUGUGAAAGAAAUACCCCCACCAAAGCAAUUGCCCUUUAGUUUGACUGUAUUUUCAGCCCUGGUUUCUGCCAGUGGUUCCUGUCCUGGUGUGUUGGUGUCUGGAGAAGGCAGCAGGGAAGUGCUGCUUGCAGGACACAGCAUCCCAAAAUCUCUGGCUGGACCAGCCCAGCACGGGCCAUGGCACUCCUCCAGAACCCUCCAUGAAGGAAGAGACCCCAAACUGUGGCUUGAAGGGUGCUUAACAAAUUGGGAAUGAUCACCUCCUGAUGGAUGUAUGGGAUUGAAUGAAGUCAUGCUGUGCUUGGCUUGCCAAGUUUUUAACACGUGACGUUAUUUAUCAAGGAAGGAAGGUUUCCAGGGGAAUUGAUAACGAAGGAUGUAGCAGGUUUUUGGAAAGAAAACAACUUUUGCUAUGAAAACAGCAACCCUGAAACUUUCUUGAGGAGAUAAACUGCUUUCUAAAAAUGGGCCACAGCUCCCUGCUGUUUCCACAAAAACUUACUUUAUGCCUGUGGUGGCUGUCACUCUGCUUAACACAACACUGGAGCUAAAGGAAACACCUGUGGUAGAAAAUGAGAGUUGGACCAUGCCUAAGUCAAAAUUUCAGUGCUUUCUGCCUUUCUGUGCUUCUCACGUUCUCCACUGACCUUGUCCCCAAGAAUGGUGCUGUUCUUGUCCCCACACUCUCCAUUGUCACAAAGGUCUGGAAGUGAUGGCACGCCAGGUCUCUGCUUACCAGACCCCACAAGCACUGCCGAGUUCCUGUUCCCACACACAUUCCCAAAGCAAACGUUACAGCUAUAAUCUAAAAGAGCAAAAAUGUUUGGAAAACAGCAGAUGCAAUGGGAAAAUGACACUUCCUACAUGUGAUAAUUGUGCAACCUUAACUCUGCCCUUGGAGUAUGUCUGCGUCUUGCUGUAUUGUUCAGGAACUUGUGCGGUGAAGAAAAAAAUCACUGGAAGUCUGUCUGGAAAUUAAAGUGUUUGGUGGAAGUGCCAGCAAGGGUUAAAUUACCUAGGUGGGCAUGGGGGGGGGGGGGCUGGGUAGGGUAAAAUGGAUUACACAAAGCUCUUAAAUACAAGAGGUGACUCUGUCAGCAUGAUUUGACUGUUAAAAUGAGCAUUGGUGGAGGGAAAAGCCCUCUGUGACUUGCGAGUCCAGAUUCCUGAAGCUUUAAUGCACAGGACAUGGUUAUGUUACCUCCUAUCUUCUUUAAGCCACUUACAUUGGUUUGCUUUUAAGCAAUAAUUUAAUUUUUUCCCCGCUUGUACUCAGCCACGGAUUAACUCUGCUCAGACUGUCUCCACGCUCUCCCUGCAGCCCCACUCUCUCAGGUGAGCAGCCCACAUCCCUUCUGCCUGCCCUGCGCCCUGCCUGGGGAUGAAGUUUGUUGUUCACUGAUGGGAGAUGUUUGCCUGGCUUAGUCACCCAGUGAGAAGGUGGGAAAGCACAGUGAAAAACACAGUGAAAGAGCAGAGUGAAAGAAUGCCCCCACUGCAAGCCGUGUGGGGCUGUAUCAACUUUUCCGCCUUCACUCAUCG
ensembl:lncRNA